rnacentral:misc_RNA from 1 species
CGCACCUUGCGCCUCUUGGUAUUCCGAGAGGCAUGCCUGUUUGAGUGUCAUGAAUCAUCAAUCCCAUAGGUUUUUCACCUGUGUGGACUUGGAACUGGGCGUCUGCCUCCCAAGGCUCGCCUGAAAUGACUUAGUGGGAACUUCUUGACCUACGCCUGACGUGAUAAGUUUCGUCUCGGCCGGUCUCGAGGCCCGCUCACAACCCCCAAUCUUUUGACAUUGACCUCAAAUCAGGUAGGGCUACCCGCUGAACUUAA